ACGGGCGGGAGUCCCGGAGGAGGGUGACGGAUGGCCACAGUAGCUCGCAGCAGGACGACGAUGCAUGAGGGCGCACGGAGCAGGGUGGCGCUCGCCUUGAGGAGCUCGUCCAUGAUCCAAUACCCAGACGAUGGAAAGGUCUAUGCAUGGUCUUUUUGGUCAUGUCGAACCCUUCUGUUGGAUAUGGAGGACGACAAGCAACUAUCUUCUUGGCCUUCUUGUGGUUUAUUGAAUAGCAGCGUCACUGCAUCGAGUGACCGCCAUUACCUCCGUCAUGAACUUGGAUUGGCAGCUGGUCAUACUCUAUUUGAGUUCAAAUAUUCUGCUUAUGAUGCAGUGAGAUAAUAUGCCAGGUACCCUUCCUGUCGCCGCUGCGCCAGAAUGACACUACCUCCACCAAGCAGCAAGUCAUGCAUGUGCGUGCAGUUCACACGCAAGAAAUUCCAACCAGUGAGUAUGAAGCUUUAGAUUUCAGACACCCAGUUGCUACUACUAUCUAGAGGUUUUGCAUAUGCAUGCAGUUCACAUGCAAGAAAUUCCAACCGGCAGUACCUGGAAGUGUUCUGGCAGCUGUGAAUCGACUGUGAGGUCUUCCUUAGGUACCCCUGCAUUACUACCUUAUCAACUGGUGUUAGGUCAUGUUCAGAAACUCUCUGAGCCACUACAGUUUGGUUAUCCAGGAGAUUCACAGACAUCGACAACAACCAUCUGUAGUUUAGGAUCGACUUCUUCCUCUCCUCCUAGGAAUGGCUCUCUCUGUUUGGUGGAAUAGGAAGGGAGCAAGUAGGAAACUGUGAAAAUAAUUCAGGUCUGAUCCUCCACAUCAAGCACCAGGCAACAAGGUCACGAGGAUCCUACUACAGAACUAUUCAUGUCCCUGAUACGCUAAUGGUAACUAUUAGUUCUCCAUGUAACUGUACCAUCUGCUAGCAUCUCCCUGGACCUUGUGACGAUAGAAAUCUCCACCGUCCCCACCAUGAGGGCAUCAAGCAAUCAACUCAGGUCACCUAUCUCCUAUUCUCCUUACUCCAUUCUUAAUUCUGAUACAGUUCUGCUUGUUCAUCACAAACACACAUGAUUGAAGGUGUAUCCAUUCAUUGUAGUCUGUCAAGUGUAGUUCUAGCAGUAAAGUAGAAGCUGAAAAAUAACUUGAACACCCGGCCAUGUUUACCUCCACUGCCCCACUGGUUGAACCGUCCAGUUGUAAUGCAGGAGAGCAGUUUUUUUUGUUGCCGAUGUUAUUUCCCUACUCGCAUGCUCUUUGCUUUGUCACUUAGAAAUUGCAGUGGUAACUUAGUUAAAGAAGACUUGAAUUCGUUAGCACUGACAGAUGAUCAUAUUAUCACUUAGAAAAUGUCCGGCAUGCUGCAAUUAAGCGUUUUCCAUAUAUCUGAUAUUUAAUAACUUCUAACAUGAUUUUGUGUGUUAUUCAUCUUUUCUGAUACCAAAACUAUCACAUACCUGAUAUUUUAUAUGCUUAU